UCAUCCCCAAAUCAAAACCCUAACCGAGAAACCUCAUUUUCGCUCUUCCGUUAAAUCAAAACCUCUUAAAAGUAACGAGCAGUAAGUUAGUGAUGGCUUCAAGAUGUAGUACUAGUACUGGUUUUAUAUGGGAUUCUGGUGGAGGAACCUUCAUUCAUAACACAGAAACACAGCAUUAUCAUAUCUACUCUCAGUAUUAGGACGAUCUAGGUCUUCUCUGAAUUGAAGAAAAAUGGGUUUCAGUUCACUAGAAAGGCAGAGACCUGCUUUCGUGUGAGCAUAUUUCAGAUUGAAAGGAAAUCCGCCGUGUAUUAAUUGACUUAGCUUUCUGUCCCUUUUGGUAUGACAGAGUUGAAUAGGGUAUCAGGUGGCCGUCCAUGUUGGUCUGAAAGAGUUAUUGAAAAAGAGUGAUGGUUAAUCUGGAAGAAAGCAGAACGUCUAAAUUAUGUGAAGAGAUGUAUUCCACUGGUUUCAUAGGAGAGUGUGAAGAGAAUUAUAAUGAUACAUAUGUUCAAACUAUCAGAAUUGGGGAGCAUGAAUGAACAAUUCUAUUCUGGCUGCAGCGCAACCUGUUGAAAUACUAGUCAGCACUAUAUGGUGCAUCAGUAAAGCUUCACGCAUGCUUCCGUUUCAUAACAAGCAUUGACGAAUAAUUGUAAUUGGUGUCCAUGAUUUUAGAAGAAAACCAGUAAGGCCAAGGACCAGAAUUCAGAAGGAUACAUACUAAGUAGCUGGUGUAAUAAUUUUAAAGUGUCGAGUUUUUGGCGCAUACUUUUUCUAUCAGUGCUGGCACAAAUGAGGGAACAAGCUGGGUUAGAUGAGAAUGGUAAGAAACAAUCCAAUACUGGUGAAAUCUAUGUGAAUGUAUUACCUACACAUGGACAUAAACUUGUAAGAGCUGAAGGAAAUGUCACUGACCUGUUCUAGUUCUAUGUGAAAGCAUUAUGAGAAUAUAUGUUGGUGAUUAACAGCAUUGAAAAGAGACUAGUGUAUUGAUAUCUGUCUUUAGGAUCAGAUAAGGAUAAGACUACAUCUAACUUCUUACAACAACUGCACAGGUACUAGAAACACCAGAACAUAGUGGUAUUCUGAUGCCCAUACGAUCAAGCUUAGAAUCCUUAUGGUAUCACAACACUAGCAAGUGUUAUGAUAAUAAACCUUCAUUCAAAUUUUAAGCAUUUUGAGAUUAGAUAGCAAGAGAUCUUUCCUGAAUCUAAUUAAUUGACAAUAUGUGGUGAAUGAUAAUAUUACAUCAUGUAUGCAUUACUCUUGUUAUGUUUACUGCAGUUUGUGAUUUACUUUUGUUAGAGCUAAUGGAGGAUGCAAACUUUAGUAUAGUUAUUUCCUUUAUAUGAAAUAAAAAACAGAGUCUGAGUAGUAUAUGCAGAAAAUAUUGUGUGAAACUGAGAGCUCUCUCAGUGGUCUAAUGCCUCUAGCCUUCUAAGAAAUCUGUUUGGUUCUUAGUUCUCAGAUUAUUUUUGCUUAAUGUUGUCAUUUAGAGAUUUAGUGUGUGAUUUUCGAGAUAUCAUAUGAUCGAGAGCGUGAUUCUAGUAGAAUUCUUGAGUUCAAGGAGUCAGAGGUUAACUCUGUGGGUAGUUAUGUUUUUGUGGAGAGCCUAGUAUCACUUAGCUCAGAAACUUAUGUGGGGCAUGCAGAGAAAGAAGACUCAGAAGAUGUGGUUGGUCUCGGUAACAACAAGUAUUUGUAUGUACUCGAAAUAUGUGUCUACUUUCUAUAUUUUUUCUAGGCUGGUUUUGUAGUGAUUUGUGGGCAAAAAUGUAUAAAGCACUCAGACUAGAGCUCGGAAAUGUGAAUAUUCAAUCCCUUUUCUUUGAGACAUAAUAACUUAUAACUGAAACUGGCUCUUGCAUUUUUUUUUUUUUUUGAGGUAUUUGCUCUUGUGGUUCGUGCAUCUUAGUUGUUUCAAUCCGUGAAUGUAGCUGUAUCGAAAACUCGACUAUUUGUCAAAUGAUGUACAAGUUUCCUUGUUCCUUAUCUUUUGGGUUUGUUCAAUUGGCUACAACAUAUCAACCAUGCACUUCACGGCUGAAGGUUGAGGUUGAGUCAGAAGCCAUUUAGUCAUUUGGAAAUAGUGUCAAGCUAGACUAUAGAUCUAAGAUAAUUACCUGGAAAUUUGUUCAUUGGCCUUAAUAGAUGGGGAUGGGAGUAUGAAACUUUAUUCUCUUUUAAAAAAACUGUGUGAACUGCGGGAGGUAGCAUUCGUGUUUUAUCGAUCAAGGUUUCAGUCAGAUAACAGACUGCUUAUUUUAGUUUUUUGAUGUGUUUAACCUUCUGGUUUCAGUCAAAUUUUGAACUGUUUGCAGUUCGUUUUAUGGUAUGCUAUAGACUAAUUCUUCUAGCUGUCUACUACUGGUUACGGCUUUAAUUGACACUAGGUGGGGAUGGGGAGGUGAUUGGUUUGUAUUGCUCAAUUUCUUCUCUAAAUUAAGAAAAUCGACUUUCGGUUCACUAAAAAGGUAGAGAGUGCUUCUGUGUGACGAAUUCUAGAUCGACAGUGAAUUAGCUGAGUAUUGAUGGACUGGAGGAUAGAGGCACAAAGUUCCUAAAUUGGGUAGUUAAUUUGGAAGAAAUUCGAUAGUCUAAACUAUGUGAAGGGAUGCAUUCCAGUGGUUUCAUAUGAGAUUGUGAAGACAAUUUUAAUGAUACAUAUGUUCAAAAUAUCAGAAUUGGGGUGCAUGAAUCCUGUUCUGGCUGCAGUGGAACCUGUUGAAAUACUAAUCAGCACUACAUGGUGCAUCAGUAAAGCUUCACGCAUGCUUUCGUUUAAUAUUAAGCAUAGACAAAUAAUUGUAAUUGGUGUGCAUGAUUUUUAGAAGAAAACCAUUAAGGCCAAGGACCAGAUUUCAGAAGGUUACAUGGCACAAAUGAGGGGACAACCGGAGUUAGAUGAGAAUGGUAAGGGUAAGACUAAAUUCAACUUCUUACAACAAACCGUGCAGGUGGGGGUAGAGGUAAUUAGAUGGAAGUUGUUGGAAUAUCAGUAGAAAUAAAGCAGCGAUAGCACCUGGCAGUGUUGCACACAACCUAAAUCAGUUUUUUUUUUUCAUUCAGACUGGACUCUAAAUCAGUGUCGAGUGCAGGAACUGAUGGAGAAUAACAUAUUGCUUGGCAAUUACAUCACCAGAUUUCAGAAGCUAAACAAGUUGUACAGUUUUUCAGUUCCGGGAUAAUCUUUGUAUGAGUUUGAAACAAUGUUGCUGUAUUCCGGCUAAACUGAGUUUGAAGCCAACAAAUGAGUGGCUCUGGACCACCAAAUUGCAUUAGGCAUCAGUUUGACUGAUGAAAAGUUAAUAGAAGAUCUGCUGGUGCGUUUGCAAAUGGAGCUCUUCACUGGGAGGAUGAUUCAGGAAACAUUUUCGCUCUCCAUUUGACUGAUGAAAAGUUUAGCAAACUUCCAUCACUGCCUUGUCUAACAGAAGCUGUUUUUUUAGAUAUCCUAUUUUUGUAGGGGUUUUAGGCCAUUUUAUAAGUGCUACUUAUUCUAACAGACUUUUGUAGUGAAAUAUGGUUGUUGAAGAAGAAUAAAGAUAAUUGUAAUGACUUGUGCUGGAGUAAAGAGUUCAGUUUUCAUACUUA